rnacentral:lncRNA from 1 species
CUGGGGAGAGUGGCUGCCUGUUCUGAGGUUUCUAAUCCAAUCAAGCUUCAUAUCCUGGUUGCUAUCCUUGUUAUCCUGUAGCUUUGUUUCUUUGGGAGAAGAACCCUGUGAUCCUGACGUUAGCCUGAACCUGCACUGUCAGACCCAAAAGGUGACUCUUCACAUGGACAUCACCAGAUGAUUAAUAUCAAAAUCAGAUUGACUUUAAAUUUUCCGACCAACGUUUAAGACUAUAAAGUAAAAAAACAAGAUCUGGGGCUGACUUUUGCUCAGAUCACAAGCAUUGCAUGAAAUUGCAAAAUUCAGAAAAAAAUGAAGAGGGUUGAAAAAAAACCAUCAGACCAUAUUACAUGUGACUUAAAUAAUAGACUUAUGAAUAUGAAGCAGAAAUGAAGAUAUAUUUAAG